GGAGCGGGUUGGUUUGGUGGACCACCCAGCCCUAAAUGUGCCACACUGUACUUUGAAUGGUCUUUCAACAAGUGGUUCUGAAAGGACUCGAGAAUGAGACCUCACAUCCAUUUCUAAUGACGCAAAGGAUCUGAUUUGUUCAAAUAUUGGUAUCUAUUUGUUUAGCUGUCUGUCUGAGGUUUGUUUAUCUAUCUGUCUGUCUUUCUAUGCAGAGCAUGCUCGCUGAUGCUGAUCUUUGGUGUUUUCUUGUCCUCAUCUCUGUUAUUAGACUCUUCAGUGUCUUCCUGUCUGUCUGUCUGUCUGUCUGUCUGUCUGUCUGUCUGUCUGUCUGUCUGUCUGUCUGUCUGUCUGUCUGUCUGUCUCUCUCUCUCUCUCUCUCUCUCUCUCUCUCUCUCUCUCUCUCUGUGUCUGUCUGCUUGAUCUUGACCUUUGACCUGUGACCUGUCUCUCUCCGGCUCAGCUCUGCAGCCCAGGCGUUCUUGUGUACGUCGUCACCCCCCCAGCUCGCGCUCCAUGUCCCUCAGGGUCCGCAAAGGCCCAAGCUCUCGCUCACUCUACACUCGCUCGCUCUUCCUGCCAACCAUCCAAUCACUCAUGAUCCCCCCUCCCCCUUCAUACCCUCCUCCCCUCGCCCCUCCCGUGUCGCUGAGCCCCCUGUCCAGCCUGCCCGCCCGCCUGGAUCACCUGGGUAAGUGGGGACUGUGUGAGACCGCAGUACACCCUCCAGGCCAUGGGGAGGGGGGCGUGAGAGGGUGACUUCUGUCCAAAUGACUGCGUCACUGGUGCUGCUUCUGCUUCUGCUGCUAUUGCUGUUGAGUCUACUGUGUCGGAAGGUAAAGCCAUGGACAGAUUCUGUCCUCUAAAAGUCCGUCAGACACCGGGUUGGUAACGUCUUUGUUUUUUCCUUGAUAGAUAUGUCUUAUUUUUUUUCAAUAUAACACAUAACACAUUAUGUGGAGAAAAGAGUUUCAAAGAAGCUAGGUACUGUAAGUUGAUUUAAAGAGUCCUCGGAACAAGUUAUGCAGUAUAGCUAUAGUUUUGAUACACUUUUGAUGCUGAAUUACUUGUAUGGCAAGUGGUGCAGCCGAUCAUCAGUUUGGGUUUACAGUUGAAGACGGAAGUUAACAUACACUUAGGUUGGAAUCAUUAAAACUCGUUUUUCAACCACUCCACAAAUUUCUUAUUAACCUGUUAGGGCUAGGGGGCAGUAUUUACACGGCCGGAUAAAAAAACGUACCCGAUUUAAUCUGGUUAUUACUACUGCCCAGAAAC